UCAGGAUUGAAACUUCCUCAGGUUAAGAUUACAAUGAUCUUGCUGCUUAAUGAAUCUGCUCUAUAUAUUGAAGUGUAGAAGAUUGUUGUUUGGUUCAUUCUGUUACUUAAACAAUUGUGAUUGAGUACCUAAGAUAAGAUAAAAUUUGGGACAAUGUGUGGACAGAAUAGACAUAAGAAACAAGUCUUGGAUGUUCUAAAAAUGGAUUAAUAUGGAUAAUAAAUAAAAAUGCAUAUGUUGCAGUAUGGAAGAUAUUUGAAUAUUGUGUUCCAGUUUGUACAACUAUUUCAGAGUGUCUUAAGUGUUGAAGAGAGAAAUGCAGGAACCUUCAGCUGUAACUACUCAAAAUAUCACAGUUGUACCUCAGACUAUACCUUUAUAUCAGGAUACAUCCCAUCAUAUAAUUGGACAAUGUGCAGAUGUACCUGAAGAGCAAAUAACAUCUAGCCAAGGUGUGGUGAAUAGAGUUCCAACUGCUCAACCUGUAUUGGAUCCUCAGGCUCAGGCACAGUUUGAAGCUGAUAAAAGAGCGGUGUAUA